AAAUGUACUACUGGUAGUCAUGUGCUCACUAUCUCUGCCUUACUCUUGAUUCCUGCCUCCAGUGAACCCAGGAUGAAGGAGUGUUUCGACUCAUCUGACUCAUUAUGCCUUCUUUGCCCUGGAUCUUACACAGAAAUGCUCUCCAUACCUUGCCACUGCUGCUGGGAAGGAACAGGGGAGGAGUGACAUUGAGAUUCAAGACUAUUUUUCCUACCUCUUCAGUGCCUCUUUCAGCCAUAUGAAGUUAAAACCAGGGGAGAAGAGGAGAGUAAAAGUGAAGAAGAAAGAGGCAAAACAAGUGACUAGACCACACGCUGAACAAGUUGUAGCUCUCAUUUACUUUUCAGAGAAUGUAAAAUGUUACAACUGCUUUGGAUAACAGUUUGGCAAUUUCUUUAAAAGUUAAGCAUAUAUAUAUAUAUAUAUAUAUAUAUAUAAUCAUAUAAUCUAGCCAUUUCACACAUCAGAAUUUACCCUCAUCCCCAAAUAAAAGCACAAAGAUGUGAAUGCCCAUAGCAGCUGCAUGUGUAAUAACUCAAAACUAUAAAAAACUCAAACACUCAUCAACAGUGAAUAAUUAAACAAAUUGUUUACAUUGCAAAAACAUUAUCAGUUGAAAGGAAUGAGCUACUGGUAGCAGCAACAAGGUACACAAAUCUAGAAAUAAUUAUGCUGAGGAAGAGAAGCCAGAAAAAUAUAAUAUAUAUUAUAUUAUCUCAUAUAUAUUAAAGAAUAGAGAAUGCAAACUAAUCUAUAGUGACAGAAAACAAAUCAGUGGCAAUCUGGGAAUGAGGGUAAGGGGUAAGAGGAAGGGAUUAAAAUGGGGCAUGAGUAAAAUUUUGGAAGUGAUAAGUAUAUUUAUUAUCUUGACUGGUUAUGGUUUUACAGAUACAUACUUAACGGUGAAAACUGGCAGAUUGUACAUUUUAAUAUGCAUAGUUUAUGAAAUGUCAAUUAUAUCUCAAUAAAUAUUAAGAUUAUAUAAGAAUAAUCUAGAGAAAUAAAACAUUUUUAAAAAAAUUAUAGUAAGAGUUGUUCUCUAACCAUUGUAGUUAAUCAGUUUUACUAAAGAAUAACCACAUAUAAAACCUUGUUCCCUUAUUUACAGAAAGUUUCUCCCGUACAGUUUGUACACUGUCUAUUCAUGUGAGCUAAUGCUUUAAAAAUUAACAUAUUAAUUUUCCUAUAUUAUAUGAACCUAGUGUUUUAUCCCAAUAAAUUAAUCAUCACAUUUUCUUUAUAGGUGUUUUUUUGUGGAAAAAAUUUAAUCAACCCAUAUCAUUUUUGUGUGCGAUCUUUCCUUAGUGAACAUUAAAUCUAAUCAUUUGUUAUUUGCAUUUGAAGUAAUUAUUUUAACAUGGGCUCUUUCCUAAGCACUUUGAAAAUUAGUCCUCUAAAGCCUUUUGUUGUAUAUAACUUUCUCUCUUGUGUUUUGUAUAAUUAUUAUUAUAUAGUAGUAUAAUUUAAAGGGGAAAUGUGCAAUAAACCCAUAUGCUUUAUUAUUAAAAGUAGGUACUGUAAGUUUUACUCCUAUGCCAAUUGGAUGGAAGAUCAAGAGUUGUGAUGAUCGGGAGGCUGAGGCAGGAGAAUGGCAUGAACCAGGGGGGCAGAGCUUGCGGUGAGCCGAGAUCGCACCACUGCACUCCAGCCUGGGUGACAGAGCGAGACUGUGUCUCAAAAAAUUAAAAAAUAAUAAUAAAAUAAAAUAAUAAAAAAAGAGUUGUGAUGAUCAUUUUCAGUUUUUAGUUUAACUGAAGAUAACAGAAACAGUCCAGAAUGGUCAAACUUUGACAUUUAUUAAAA
rnacentral:lncRNA from 1 species